rnacentral:rRNA from 1 species
UACGUAGGGUGCGAGCGUUAAUCGGAAUUACUGGGCGUAAAGCGUGCGCAGGCGGGCUUUUAAGCCAGACGUGAAAUCCCCCGGGCUUAACCUGGGAAUGGCGUUUUGGGACUGGAAGUCUGGAGUGCGGCAGAGGAGACUGGAAUUCCUGGUGUAGCAGUGAAAUGCGUAGAUAUCAGGAGGAACACCGAUGGCGAAGGCAGGUCUCUGGGCUGACACUGACGCUCAUGCACGAAAGCGUGGGGAGCAAACAGGAUUACGAAACCC